rnacentral:rRNA from 1 species
UCAGUCGACUCCUACGGGGAGGCAGCAGUGGGGAAUAGUUGCACAAUGGGCGCAAGCCUGAUGCAGCCAUGCCGCGUGUAUGAAGAAGGCCUUCGGGUUGUAAAGUACUUUCAGUCGUGAGGAAGGCGGCGUCGUUAAUAGCGGCGUUGUUUGACGUUAGCGACAGAAGAAGCACCGGCUAACUCCGUGCCAGCAGCCGCGGUAAUACGGAGGGUGCGAGCGUUAAUCGGAAUUACUGGGCGUAAAGCGCAUGCAGGUGGUUUGUUAAGUCAGAUGUGAAAGCCCGGGGCGUCAACCUCGGAAUUGCAUUUGUAAACUAGGCAGACUAGAGUACUGUAGAGGGGGGUAGGAAUUUCAGGUGUAGCGGUGAAAUGCGUAGAGAUCUGAAGGAAUACCGGUGGCGAAGGCGGCCCCCUGGACAGAUACUGACACUCAGAUGCGAAAGCGUGGGGAGCAAACAGGAUUAGAUACCCUGGUAG